GACGAACGCUGGAGGCGUGCUUAAUACAUGCAAGUCGAACGGAAAGGCCCUGCUUUUGUGGGGUGCUCGAGUGGCGAACGGGUGAGUAACACGUGAGUAACCUGCCCUUGACUUUGGGAUAACUUCAGGAAACUGGGGCUAAUACCGGAUAGGAGCUCCUGCUGCAUGGUGGGGGUUGGAAAGUUUCGGCGGUUGGGGAUGGACUCGCGGCUUAUCAGCUUGUUGGUGGGGUAGUGGCUUACCAAGGCUUUGACGGGUAGCCGGCCUGAGAGGGUGACCGGCCACAUUGGGACUGAGAUACGGCCCAGACUCCUACGGGAGGCAGCAGUGGGGAAUAUUGCACAAUGGGCGGAAGCCUGAUGCAGCAACGCCGCGUGCGGGAUGACGGCCUUCGGGUUGUAAACCGCUUUCGCCUGUGACGAAGCGUGAGUGACGGUAAUGGGUAAAGAAGCACCGGCUAACUACGUG
rnacentral:rRNA from 1 species